UGGUCAAGUUAUUAAGGUGCAGGGCGGAUGCCUUGGCACUAGGAGCCGAUGAAGGACGUGAUAAGCUGCGAUAAGCUUCGGGGAGUUGCACGUAAACUUUGAUCCGAAGAUUUCCGAAUGAGGAAACUCACUUAGAGUAAUGUCUAAGUAUCAUUAAGUGAAUACAUAGCUUAAUGAGGGGAACUCAGGGAACUGAAACAUCUAAGUACCUGAAGGAAGAGAAAGAAAUUCGAUUCCGUAAGUAGCGGCGAGCGAACGCGGAUUAGCCCAAACCAAUAAA
rnacentral:rRNA from 1 species